rnacentral:rRNA from 1 species
UGUAGUCAUAUGCUUGUCUCAAAGAUUAAGCCAUGCAUGUCUAAGUAUAAGCAACUAUACAGUGAAACUGCGAAAUGGCUCAUUAAAUCAGUUAUCGUUUAUUUGAUAGUACCUUACUACUUGGAUAACCGUGGUAAUUCUAGAGCUAAUACAUGCUAAAAAUCCCGACCUCCGGAAGGGAUGUAUUUAUUAGAUAAAAAACCAAUGCCUUCGGGCUCCUUGGUGAUUCAUGAUAACUUAACGAAUCGCAUGGCCUUGCGCCGGCGAUGGUUCAUUCAAAUUUCUGCCCUAUCAACUUUCGAUGGUAGGAUAGUGGCCUACCAUGGUUUCAACGGGUAACGGGGAAUUAGGGUUCGAUUCCGGAGAGGGAGCCUGAGAAACGGCUACCACAUCCAAGGAAGGCAGCAGGCGCGCAAAUUACCCAAUCCCGAUUCGGGGAGGUAGUGACAAUAAAUACUGAUACAGGGCUCUUUUGGGUCUUGUAAUUGGAAUGAGUACAAUUUAAAUCCCUUAACGAGGAACAAUUGGAGGGCAAGUCUGGUGCCAGCAGCCGCGGUAAUUCCAGCUCCAAUAGCGUAUAUUAAAGUUGUUGCAGUUAAAAAGCUCGUAGUUGAACCUUGGGUUUGGCUGCUCGGUCCGCCUAACCGCGUGCACUGAUGCGGCCGGAUCUUUCCUUCUGGCUAACCUCAUGCCCUUUACUGGGUGUGCUGGGGAUCCANGACUUUUACUUUGAAAAAAUUAGAGUGUUCAAAGCAGGCCUUUGYUNCGAAUACAUUAGCAUGGAAUAAUAGAAUAGGACGGCGGUUCUAUUUUGUUGGUUUCUAGAGCCACCGUAAUGAUUAAUAGGGAUAGUCGGGGGCAUCAGUAUUCAAUUGUCAGAGGUGAAAUUCUUGGAUUUAUUGAAGACUAACUACUGCGAAAGCAUUUGCCAAGGAUGUUUUCAUUAAUCAGUGAACGAAAGUUAGGGGAUCGAAGACGAUCAGAUACCGUCGUAGUCUUAACCAUAAACUAUGCCGACUAGGGAUCGGGCGGUGUUCAACUUAUGACCCGCUCGGCACCUUACGAGAAAUUCAAAGUUUUUGGGUUUCUGGGGGGAGUAUGGUUCGCAAGGCUGAAACUUAAAGGAAUUGACGGAAGGGCACCACCAGANNNNNNNANCCUGCGGCUUAAUUUGACUCAACACGGGGAAACUCACCAGGUCCAGACACAUUAAGGAUUGACAGAUUGAGAGCUCUUUCUUGAUUAUGUGGGUGGUGGUGCAUGGCCGUUCUUAGUUGGUGGAGUGAUUUGUCUGCUUAAUUGCGAUAACGAACGAGACCUUAACCUGCUAAAUAUCCUGGCUANCUUUUGCUGGUCACCGGCUUCUUAGAGGGACUAUCGGCUCAAGCCGAUGGAAAGUUUGAGGCAAUAACAGGUCUGUGAAUGCCCUUANAUGUUCUGGGCCGCACGCGCGCUACACUGACAGANCCAACGAGUAUAACCCUUAGCCGAGAGGUUUAGGUAAUCUUGUUAAACUCUGUCGUGCUGGGGAUAGGGCAUUGCAAUUAUUGCCCUUCAACNAGGAAUAUCUAGUAAGCGCAAGUCAUCAGCUUGCGUUGAUUACGUCCCUGCCCUUUGUACACACCGCCCGUCGCUACUACCGAUUGAAUGGCUCAGUGAGGCCUUCGGACUGGCUCCAGGAGGUUGGCAACAACCACCCAGAGCCGGAAAGUUGGUCAAACUUGGUCAUUUAGAGGAAGUAAAAGUCNUAACAAGGUUUCCGUAGGUGAACCUGCGA